rnacentral:rRNA from 1 species
GUGAUUAAGUAAGAAAGGGCGUACGGUGGAUGCCUAGGCACUUGGAACUGAAGAAGGACGCAGCAAACAGCGAAAUGCUGCGGGGAGCGGUACGCACGCAAAGAUCCGCAGAUAUCCGAAUGGGGAAACCCGUCAUCUGUAAUAGGAUGACACCCAUGAGCGAAUACAUAACUCAUGAGGGAGGUACCCGGGGAACUGAAACAUCUAAGUACCCGGAGGAAAAGAAAAUAAAGAAUGAUUCCGUAAGUAGCGGCGAGCGAAAGCGGAGGAGCCCAAACCAGUUCUCGAACUGGGGUUGUAGGACCACGACAAGACAAGAACGACGAUAGGAGAACAGCAUUGAAAGGCUGACCAAAGAGGGUGCAAGUCCCGUAACUGAAAUCGUAGUGAAGUCUAGUGGGAUCCUGAGUACGGCGAGACACGAGAAAUCUUGUCGGAAGCAGGCGGGACCAUCCGUCAAGGCUAAAUAUACCCAAGUGACCGAUAGUGAACCAGUACCGUGAGGGAAAGGUGAAAAGAACCGCGGGAGCGGAGUGAAAGAGAACCUGAAACCGUAUGCCUACAAGAAGUCAGAGCCCGUUAAAGGGUGAUGGCGUGCCUUUUGUAGAAUGAACCGGCGAGUUACGUUAUCGUGCGAGGUUAAGUAGAAGAUACGGAGCCGAAGCGAAAGCGAGUCUUAAUAGGGCGGCAGUACGAUGACGUAGACCCGAAACCGUGUGAUCUAGCCAUGACCAGGUUGAAGUUCAGGUGAAACUGAAUGGAGGACCGAACCGACCCCCGUUGAAAAGUUGGCGGAUGAGUUGUGGCUAGGGGAGAAAUUCCAAUCGAACACGGAUAUAGCUGGUUCUCCCCGAAAUAGCUUUAGGGCUAGCGUCGAGGAAGAGUAUGUUGGAGGUAGAGCACUGAAUGUACGAUGGCCCCAUCCCGGGGUACUGAGUAUAAUCAAACUCCGAAUGCCAAUAUAUAUACUCGGCAGUCAGACUGUGGGUGAUAAGGUCCAUGGUCAAAAGGGAAACAGCCCAGACCGCCAGUUAAGGUCCCAAAAUGUAUGCUAAGUGGAAAAGGAUGUGGGGAUGCACAGACAACUAGGAGGUUGGCUCAGAAGCAGCCACCCUUCAAAGAGUGCGUAACAGCUCACUAGUCGAGUGACCCUGCGCCGAAAAUGUACCGGGGCUAAGCAUACUACCGAAGCUGCGGAUUUGUAGUAAUACAAGUGGUAGGGGAGCGUUCCAUACUGCGUAGAAGUCAGAUCGUAAGGACUGAUGGAGUGUAUGGAAGUGAGAAUGCCGGUGUGAGUAGCGAGAUGUAGGUGAGAAUCCUACACACCGAUAGCCCAAGGGUUCCAGGGGAAGGUUCGUCCGCCCUGGGUAAGUCGGGACCUAACGCGAGGCCGAAAGGCGUAGUGGAUGGAAAACAGGCAGAUAUUCCUGUACCCGCGAUGGAAGUGAAGGAAUGACGGAGAAGGCUAGUGUGACCCACUGAAUGGAUUGUGGGCGAAGCGAAUAGCAGGACGGCAGUGAAAUGCGUCGUCGAAAUGUAAAACGUGACAGGUAAGGGAACGUCUACGGACAAGUACCGAAGCACAUGAGGCCAGCUUCCAGGAAAAGUUUCUAGCAUUAAUUCCAUAGCGGCCCGUACCAAAACCGACACAGGUGGGCAAGGAGAGGAUCCUGAGGUGAGCGAGAGAACUGUUGCCAAGGAACUCGGCAAAAUGACUCCGUAAGUUAGCGAUAAGGAGUGCUCUUGUAAAAGAGAGCCGCAGUGAAGAGGCCCAAGCGACUGUUUAACUAAAACACAGCUCUCUGCAAAGUCGCAAGACGAAGUAUAGGGGGUGACGCCUGCCCGGUGCUGGAAGGUUAAAAGGAUCUGUGAAUCGCAAGAGGAAGCAGUGAACUGAAGCCCCAGUGAACGGCGGCCGUAACUAUAACGGUCCUAAGGUAGCGAAAUUCCUUGUCAGGUAAGUUCUGACCCGCACGAAAGGCGUAACGAUUUGGGCGCUGUCUCGGCAGCAGACUCGGUGAAAUCUUAGUACCUGUGAAAAUGCAGGUUACCCGCAACUAGACGGAAAGACCCCAUGGAGCUUUACUGUAGCCUGAUAUUGAGUUUUGAUCAAAGAUGUACAGGAUAGGUGGGAGGCGAAGAGACGUGUACGCCAGUAUACGAGGAGCCGCUGUUGGGAUACCACUCUUGUUUGAUUGAAAUUCUAACCUGCAUCCAUGAACUGGAUGAGGGACCGUGUCAGGUGGGCAGUUUGACUGGGGCGGUCGCCUCCUAAAGAGUAACGGAGGCGCCCAAAGGUACGCUCAGAUUGGAUGGAAAUCAAUCGACGAGUGCAAAUGCAGAAGCGUGCUUGACUGCGAGAGAAACAACUCGAGCAGGGACGAAAGUCGGGAUUAGUGAUCCGGCGGUGCCGAAUGGAAGGGCCGUCGCUCAACGGAUAAAAGCUACCCUGGGGAUAACAGGCUGAUCUCGCCCAAGAGUUCACAUCGACGGCGAGGUUUGGCACCUCGAUGUCGGCUCAUCGCAUCCUGGAGCUGAAUUCGGUUCCAAGGGUUGGGCUGUCCGCCCAUUAAAGCGGUACGCGAGCUGGGUUCAGAACGUCGUGAGACAGUUCGGUCCCUAUCUGUUGUGGGCGAAGGAAAUUUGAGGAGAGCUGUCCUUAGUACGAGAGGACCGGGAUGGACCUACCGCUGGUGCACCAGUUGUUCCGCCAGGAGCAUAGCUGGGUAGCUAAGUAGGGAAGGGAUAAGCGCUGAAAGCAUCUAAGCGCGAAGCCCCCUCCAAGAUGAGAUUUCCCAUUCUUCGGAAGUAAGACCCCUUGAAGACGACGAGGUAGAUAGGUCAGAGAUGGAAACGUAGUGAUACGUGGAGUUGACUGAUACUAAUAGGUCGAGGACUUAAUCACA